CCUACGGGUGGCAGCAGUGAGGAAUAUUGGUCAAUGGACGAGAGUCUGAACCAGCCAAGUAGCGUGAAGGAUGACUGCCCUAUGGGUUGUAAACUUCUUUUAUAUGGGAAUAAAAUGUUCCACGUGUGGGAUUUUGUAUGUACCAUAUGAAUAAGGAUCUGCUCACUCCGUACCAGCAGCCGCGGUAAUACGGAGGAUCCGAGCGUUAUCCGGAUUUAUUGGGUUUAAAGGGAGCGUAGGUGGAUUGUUAAGUCAGUUGUGAAAGUUUGCGGCUCAACCGUAAAAUUGCAGUUGACACUGGCAGUCUUGAGUACAGUAGAGGUGGGCGGAAUUCGUGGUGUAGCGGUGAAAUGCUUAGAUAUCACGAAGAACUCCGAUUGCGAAGGCAGUUCACUGGACUGCAACUGACACUGAGGCUCGAAAGUGUGGGUAUCAAACAGGAUUAGAUACCCCAGUAGUC
rnacentral:rRNA from 1 species